rnacentral:rRNA from 1 species
UACAGAGGGUGCGAGCGUUAAUCGGAAUUACUGGGCGUAAAGCGCGCGUAGGCGGCUUUGCAAGUCGGGUUGUGGAAAUCCCCAGGCUUAACCUGGGAACUGCGACUUCGGAAGACUGCAUGGGCUAGAGUAUGGGGAGAGGGAAGUGGAAUUUCCGGUGUAGCGGUGAAAUGCGUAGAUAUCGGAAGGAACAUCAGUGGCGAAAGCGACUUCCUGGACCAAUACUGA